rnacentral:rRNA from 1 species
AGUAGUUUGAUCCUGGCUCAGGAUGAACGCUGGCGCGUGCCUAACACAUGCAAGUCGAACGCUCGCAAGAGAGUGGCGCACGGGUGAGUAACACGUAGCUAAUCUGCCCUCAAGACAAGGAUAACUCAGAGAAAUUUGUGCUAAUACCGUAUAAUGACUUCGGUCCAAAGAUUUAUCGCCCAAGGAUGAGCCCGCGUAAGAUUAGCUAGUUGGUGGGUAAAAGCCUACCAAGGCGACGAUCUUUAGCUGGUCUGAGAGGAUGAUCAGCCACACUGGGACUGAGACACGGCCCAGACUCCUACGGGAGGCAGCAGUGGGGAAUAUUGGACAAUGGGCGAAAGCCUGAUCCAGCAAUGCCGCGUGAGUGAUGAAGGCCUUAGGGUUGUAAAGCUCUUUUACCCGAGAUGAUAAUGACAGUAUCGGGAGAAUAAGCUCCGGCUAACUCCGUG